rnacentral:rRNA from 1 species
ACGCGUGAGAAUCUGGCUUCAGGUUCGGGACAACAGUGGGAAACGACUGCUAAUACCGGAUGUGCCUGUGGGUGAAAGAUUUAUCACCUGAAGAUGAGCUCGCGUCUGAUUAGCUAGUAGGUGGGGUAAGAGCCUACCUAGGCGACGAUCAGUAGCUGGUCUGAGAGGAUGAUCAGCCACACUGGGACUGAGACACGGCCCAGACUCCUACGGGAGGCAGCAGUGGGGAAUUUUCCGCAAUGGGCGAAAGCCUGACGGAGCAAUACCGCGUGAGGGAGGAAGGCUCUUGGGUUGUAAACCUCUUUUCUCAGGGAAGAAGAAAUGACGGUACUUGAGGAAUCAGCAUCGGCUAACUCCGUGCCAGCAGCCGCGGUAAUACGGAGGAUGCAAGCGUUAUCCGGAAUGAUUGGGCGUAAAGCGUCCGCAGGUGGCAGUGAAAGUCUGCUGUCAAAGAGUCUGGCUCAACCAGAUAAAGGCAGUGGAAACUACACAGCUAGAGUGAGGUAGGGGCAGAGGGAAUUCCUGGUGUAGCGGUGAAAUGCGUAGAGAUCAGGAAGAACACCGGUGGCGAAAGCGCUCUGCUGGACCGCAACUGACACUGAGGGACGAAAGCUAGGGGAGCGAAUGGGAUUAGAUA